GACUCUUGGUAGGAACUUGGGAGAAUGAACAUCUUCAGCAUCUUCAAAUUGUAACCUCCUGCUGAUAAAGGGUUCAAGUGAUGUCAGUAAGAUCUAUCCCCCUUGGUUACGUUUUGUCUUGACUUUCUUCUCAGACUCGAUGGAGGAAAGUUAUAUACUUCAGGCUCACAGAACUGCAACACCAGUUCAGAAGAAUCUGUUUCCCCAGUAACUCAGAAUUCUGUAAUUGAACUGUGUUGACACCGAUUGACUUGAUUUGAGUCCUGUGCCCACUCUUGAGCCAGGAGGGAAUGAGCUUGUAGACAUGUUUUGUAGACAUGUCUUGUAGACAGGAGAGAAUGAGCUGACUGGUUUUGCCUAUUUCAUGUAUUCAAAUCCAAUAGGUAUUCAUGUAUUCAACUUCACGUUUCAUGUAUUCAACAACUUCAUAUAUUCAACUUUAUAUUUCAUGUAUUCAACUUCAAUAGGUUUUGCCUAUUUCGUGUAUUCAACUCCUAGACCCUAGGGGUGAAGUCUAAAAAGCAUGAUUGAGAAUGGAAUGAAGAGUUUACUCAUAUCAAAGUUCAUGUAGUAACACCAUAAGAAGAAGAAAUGACUGCUGGGAAUAAAAACUAACAAAUUCCACUAGAACUUUUAUGACAACACACUCUCCUUAAUGUCUUCCUAUCUCAUCUACAUACCCUCAUGUACUUCCUAUCUCUUCCCAUGACUUCAGUGGUUUUAAAUACAUAGCUAUGUUUUCAGUGCAUUCCCUUUUUGUCUCUGCUUAUCUGACUAUAUCCCUUAGGCAACUUGAUCCACUUUGAAUGCCUCAAUCAGAAUAUAUACAUAUCAAAUAUUUAUUUCUAUACCAGCAUUCUCUCCUCAGGAGGAGCCCUGUCUAUCUAUCUAAAAGACAUCUCUAUUUGGAUGUCCUGCCCUAAAACUUCACAAGUUCCAUAGUGAAAAUCUUACCUACCUUUAUAAAUCUGUGUUUUUCCUGUUCACCUUCUCUUAGGGAGUGGCACCUUCUUCCCCAUUUUUCCAUGUCCAUUACAUUUUAAAUCUUACUGCCUUGUUAUCCUUUGAUAUUAUCAAUGUCUCUCCAUCUCCCUUGCCACUAUUCUAUUUUUCCUGUGCUGCAGUACUGGUUUUCCAGCAGGCUUAGCUGAGGCUGGGUCCAUCUUUCCCUCCUGCCAAAAUUAACUUCCUAAAAUCUGAUCAGGUCAGUUCCUCUUGAAACCCACAAAUGAUUUUCCAUUGCUCUCGGAAGAAGACCUAUUCAUAUUGUUUACAGGAGACUUUUAUGCUGUAGUCUCUCCUUAUGUCUCUAGCCUCAUCUCUCUUCAUGCAGGCCCUGAAUUAAUGGGCCACACAGGACAACUUGCAGUGGCUUGAGUGUGUUGCUUUUUUCUUUAAUUACCUCCAAGCAUUUGCAUGUAUUAUCACUUCUGCCAGGGAGACCAGCAUAUUAGCCUGAUUACUUUCUAUUCUGAGGUCAUUUCCUAUGGAUAAGCUUUUCUGGUCACCUCUCACACCUACUCUAAAGGCAAGGUUAUAUGCUCCCUGUCACCUACCCUGCCCCAUUGUGGGAGAGUUUUGAGACCUUUUUGUAAUUUCUUCCUUACUUGGAUAUCUUCCCCAGUGGAUUAAAAUCCCUGAAGAUGGUGACUGUGCCUUAGUCAAAGUUGUAUUUUCAGCAUUUAGAUGGUGCCUUGUGCUUAAUUAUCUCCCAAAAUAAUGUUUAUUGAGUGGAUGAAGGCAGUUGUUACCCCAUGUUACAAACAACAACCCCAGUCACAGAGAAGUUGUGGCUUUUACAAUUCAAUCAGUGUUUUAAUGUGAAUGUGGCUACAAACAAGUAUUUUAGCUUUAUAGUCAGCCUGUUAAAUUUCUCUCCGCAGAUUUUUGGGGCAAAGUCAAUCAGAGUGGUCCUGCCGAAGAGGAUUGUAUUUUUGUAUCUUCAGGAGUUUAUUGGCAUCAAAAUGAGGUAAAUAUGGAAUACAACGCAGCAAUAAAAAUGAAUCAACUAUUUGUACACAAAGCAAAACUCACGAAAAGAGCCAGACAAAAGGGAAAGGAAAUAGUGGUUUUGUGAGAUUAAGCAAUUUAUUUAAAGAAGAACAACUAAUAAGUGACAGAGUCCAGGUUGGAAUCCGAGUCUGCCUGACUUUUAAAUCUUCACUCGCAGUUUCUUUUCUAGAGAAAGUAAAUGUGGGGCCCUUGCACUGCUACUCUCCUCUUUCACUCAUUGCAGAUUGGUUAUGCCACAUGUCCUCAGAGUCCUUUUCAACACAGGGCUCUAGGUAGGCAAUACCCUUUGUAUUGUGAGUAAAACCAUUUUGCCAUCUGUAUGUUGUUCUCCAUCACUCUUAACCUCUAACAAUACAGGCACAACUGAAUUUAUCAAUCAGACCUGCAUAGAAAAAACACAAUUAUAAAGUAAAUGUGAGAAACAAAGAUAGUUAAUCAAAAUAAUGUGUGCAAAAACAUGAGUGGCUGGACUUCUUCCACUUUCUCUGUAACAUUAGGGAUCCCUGAAUAUACAAGACACAUAAUAACCAUUUCUCAGCUCACAUCAGUUAAGGGCUGAGCCUAGAGAAGAAUUCUCAACUGUGAAAGACAUUUUGUCUUAACCAAUUUUUGUUAGUGAGUUGUGACUAAACACAUCCCCAUGUCUGAAGACCUUAUUUUAUUCCCUUUCUCUGACUGCUGGGAAAAGCAUUAGGCUUUUCCUUUGAGGAGAAUAAUUCUUAUGUUCUAUUUGUUGUUUGUUUUUUCCUUUACAUUGAUCUAUGUGUGACCUUAUCAGUUAUACUAGAAAAUUUACUGUUAUUUAUCUAUGAAGUUAGUUCUGGCAUUAAUAAGAGUUUUUCAUUUUGUGCCCUUACAAAAUGAGACUUUCUUCUUGUCACAAUGAUAUCAUUUAAUCUUCUAUUAUAAUUUAUAUCUUUAUAUGUCUGUUGCCUCUAGUAGACACUGAACUUCCUGCGGGCAAAAAAAAAAAACAAAAAAAAACAAAAAAAAGAAAAUCAAAAAACAUGUCUUGCUCAUAUUUGUACGAGUUGAAAAACACAAAUUUCAUUUUGUAGAUUCUAAUAUUCUUUGAUUAAAUGAAUGAAUUAGGGGCACAACCUGGGGUGUCUACCUAUAUUCUAUGACAGUCCAUAUUCCACCUUUUAUUUCAGUUCUCUAAAUGACAGUUUACAUGUCACCACCCUAUCUUUAGAUUUUCCAUAGCAUAUAUAUUUUAAAAACAACAAGCAAAUGUUCAUUAAAUUAAAUGGAAGCUAUUUUCUAAUCAUUGAUCCAAAUAUUGAAUCUGUCAAACUUCUGGAUGAGUUAUUUAAGUCAAAUACGCACAUCCCCCACAAUUCCCAGAUAUCUUUUUGUUGACUGCACAGAACUAUUCUGUAGCUAUAACUAAGAACAUUUGAAUUGCUGGGGGUAACCAGUAUUCUUACUAGAACUAAGUAGUACAGUCUAAUAAAUCUAUAUAAGUUCUCUAUCUGAAACAAACUUACGGUUUACAGUAUCAAGAAACAAAUGCUGCCAUAUGGAACAAGUGAAAAUGACAGAAAGAAUACAAGGAGGUCCUGUAUUCAUAGCACACUCUGUGAUGUACUUGUCUUUUUAUGAUUAAUUUAGGCAUUUUCACUAAUAGAUUCAAAGAUAAUUGCCAGAUAAACAGCUGUGCUAUCCCUAUAACAGGAGAGGAAAUGAGUAAGGGAUAUUAAAUAAGGAAAAAUGUUUCUCAGGUGCAUUAAUCUGGAAAAUGGAGCUCAUUGUAAGAUGUUCUGUCUUCCUUGGUAUUUGGAUUUGAAAACUGGAAUAUUAAGGUUUAAGGACAUGAUAGGGCACCAUAAGAAGGAAUAAUCUCCUUAUGAAACCAAGUGAUUAUAACAAUAUGAUUAUUUAUGAAUAAAAUAUUUUUGCCUUUUAAUUAUUCAGUCUUUUACUAAAACCCAUGUUACACAUAAGAGGAGAAGUUUAAAAUAAUGUUUCCAGAAGUGUAAAAUCCUGAAUCAAAACAACAUGUUUUAGAAAAUAUUAGGAAUACAGAACACUAAAAAUAGAAUACUCAUAGUGUCCUCAUGCAUUUUAACUCAUUGCUUUCAUUGAUCUUAAUUCUUUUUAAAAUUUGAAGUAGAAAUAUUUCUGAUUGACUAAGUAUAAAGUGCU
rnacentral:lncRNA from 10 species